UAUUUUACCGGUGGUCCUUUGAUGGAAUGUCCACUAGACCCCUCAGGACCAGGGUUAUAGGUCAUAUCUUACCGGUGGUCCCUGGAUGGAAUGUCCACUAGGCCCCUCAGGACCAGGGUUAUAGGUCAUAUAUCAUAUCUUACCGGUGGUCCCUGGAUGGAAUGUCCACUAGACCCUUGAGGACCAGGGUUAUAGGUCAUAUAUCAUAUCUUACCGGUGGUCCCUGGAUGGAAUGUCCACUAGACCCCUCAGGACCAGGGUUAUAGGUCAUAUAUCAUAUCUUACCGGUGGUCCCUGGAUGGAAUGUCCACUAGGCCCUUGAGGACCAGGGUUAUAGGUCAUAUAUCAUAUCUUACCGGUGGUCCCUGGAUGGAAUGUCCACUAAGGCCCUUGAGGACCAGGGUUAUAGGUCAUAUCUUACCGGUGGUCCCUGGAUGGAAUGUCCACUAGGCCCUUGAGGACCAGGGGGGCCCUGUGGUCCAGAAGGACCUUUAUCACCAACUAGUCCUUGAGGCCCCUGGAGAAGACAGACCAUUUAUUUAAAUCACACAAUAUUAACCAACGACUCAUGGCUGUUUCCUUACUGAUUUAUGAACUAUAUUUCAACUGAUAAACUGAUCAAUAGUCUACAAACGACUUUAAAAACCUUUAGAGCACAUUUGUAAAGCAUACCUUAAUGUAACGUGUUACAACAACAGAGUUGAUUAACCGCCCGCCCUGUUUACAUAAAAUUAAAUUGAACUAAAAGUUUGUUAGGUCUUCUCUCUGGUGAUAAAUAUGUUCUGUGUCUUCAACGUCCAUGUUUGGACAUCAGGUUUUAGAGCUACUGUCUGACAGCCUUCCUUCUACAACACAAUGCCGUGUCCUUGGGUCUCUCACUCCACACAUAAAUGUGAUAUUCAUAAAGUUAAGACAAAGUACAACGGGUAGCCCACAGGACCGUUCUCCGAGGACACUCAUUAGAAUGGAGUUUACAUUGGGGACUGUGCUCGAGGAAAUUGAUUUAGGCUGUGUCCCAAAUGGCACCAUAGGGCUUUGGUCAAAAGUAGUGCACUAUAUAGGGAAUAGGAUGCAAAUUAGGACAUAUUUCAGCCAAUACCCAACAGUACAUUUGAAAUGAGAUUACAGCCGUCCUGGGUUGGGUUUGUUUGGCACCAUAAUGAAAUCUGUUUCUAGCAUGGCCUCGCCGUUCACAUCUGUUGUAACUUUGUUAGCGAGCUGCCAGUGUGAAACUGGGCUGGAAGCAGAGGGAAUGGAGAGGCCAGCAGCCUGCAGCCUUCGAGGCUGAUAAAGCAGUCAAACAGACGGAGAGAGGGGACUGUCCCAUUUACCAAUCCUGGGUUCAAACACUAUUUGAAAUGUUUAAAAUACUUUGAGAGUUGGAUUUAGUGUCAGGUGGGCGGGGUUUGAAUGCCUGGUGGGCUGGGUUUAAAUGCCAGAUUUGCUGGGUUUGAAUGCCAGAUGGGUGGGGUUUGCAUGCCUGGUGGGCUGGGUUUGAAUGCCAGAUGGGUGGGGUUUGCAUGCCAGGUGGGUGGGGUUUGAAUGCCAGGUGGGCUGGGUUUGAAUGCCAGAUGGGUGGGGUUUGCAUGCCAGGUGGGUGGGGUUUGCAUGCCAGGUGGGCUGGGUUUGAAUGCCAGAUGGGCUGGGUUUGAAUGCCAGGUGGGUGGGGUUUGAAUGCCAGGUGGGUGGGGUUUGCAUGCCAGGUGGGCUGGGUUUGAAUGCCAGGUGGGCUGGGUUUGAAUGCCAGGUGGGCGGUGUUUGAAUGCCAGGUGGGCGGGGUUUGAAUGCCAGGUGGGCUGGGUUUGAAUGCCAGAUGGGUGGGGUUUGCAAUACAGGGGGGUGGGGUUUGCACUUUUGGGACUUUUGUAAUUGGUUCCAUUGCAACAGGCAAUUCCAUUGCAACAAGUUGAGUAUUUGAACCCAGGUCUGAGUCAGACACAGAGAGAACUGGAAUAACAACGUUUCAGCGUACUCCUAAAACUACAGUCCAAGUAAAAUGAUCCUGUUUAACUACAACCUACACAAGCCUCUCCUGGCUUCGACAUGAAGACUGCUGGCAUGAAGCCAGAACGACACAGCGAGGUUCACUUAGUGUGUGAAAACAGAGACAUCCUCCAAAAAUAACAGAAUUGCACGUUACGUUGCAUAUUUAUGUAUCUCCACAUCUCAGCCGUUGAUUCAGGCUAUUUAUUGGAGGAAAUUCCAUUCUUAUUCUUUAUGUUCUAGGUGGCCCCUCACGUACUGUAGCCAGAGUACGUGUUACUGUGGAAGCACUGAGCUGCUACAAAAUAUUAAGAUCACACCCCCCAUGUUGACUCUAAUGCUUCCCACAGUUAUUAUUGGCUGGAUGGCCUUUGGGUGGUGGACCAUUCUUGAUACACAUGGGAAAAUGUUGAGUGUGAAAAACCCAGCAACGUUGAAGUUCUUGACCCAAACCGGUGCGCCUGACACCUACUACCAUACCCCAUUCAAAGGCACUUACAUCUUUUGUCUUACCCUCUGAAUGGCACACAUACACAAUCCAUGUCUCAAUUGUCUCAAGGCUUAAAAAUCUGGAUUUAACAAGCAACAUCAAUAAGGGUUCAUAGCUUUCCCCUGGUCAGUCUAUGUAGUGGUCUGUACACUGAGCUGUAUUGGGACCCUCCAGUAUGUGUUACUGUGGAAACACUGAGCUGUAUUGGGACCCUCCAGUAUGUGUUACUGUGGAAACACUGAGCUGUAUUGAGACCCUCCAGUAUGUGUUACUGUUGAAACACUGAGCUGUAUUGGGAUGGAGACCCUCCAGUAUGUGUUACUGUUGAAACACUGAGCUGUAUUGGGAUGGAGAUCCUCCAGUAUGUGUUACUAUGGAAACACUGAGCUGUAUUGGGAUGGAGACCCUCCAGUAUGUGUUACUGUGGAAACACUGAGCUGUAUUGGGAUGGAGACCCUCCAGUAUGUGUUACUAUGGAAACACUGAGCUGUAUUGGGAUGGAGAUCCUCCAGUAUGUGUUACUGUGGAAACACUGAGCUGUAUUGGGAUGGAUCCCCUCCAGUAUGUGUUACUGUGGAAACACAGCUGUAUUGGGAUGGGAACCCUCCAGUAUGUGUUGCUAUGGAAACACUGAGCUGUAUUGUGAUGGAGCCCCUCCAGUAUGUGUUACUAUGGAAACACUGAGCUGUAUUGGGAUGGAGAUCCUCCAGUAUGUGUUACUGUGGAAACACUGAGCUGUAUUGGGAUGGAGACCCUCCAGUAUGUGUUACUAUGGAAACACUGAGCUGUAUUGGGAUGGAGAUCCUCCAGUAUGUGUUACUGUGGAAACACUGAGCUGUAUUGAGACCCUCCAGUAUGUGUUACUAUGGAAACACUGAGCUGUAUUGGGAUGGAGAUCCUCCAGUAUGUGUUACUGUGGAAACACUGAGCUGUAUUGGGAUGGGAACCCUCCAGUAUGUGUUACUAUGGAAACACUGAGCUGUAUUGGGAUGGAGAUCCUCCAGUAUGUGUUACUGUGGAAACACUGAGCUGUAUUGGGAUGGAGACCCUCCAGUAUGUGUUACUAUGGAAACACUGAGCUGUAUUGGGAUGGAGAUCCUCCAGUAUGUGUUACUGUGGAAACACUGAGCUGUAUUGGGAUGGAGACCCUCCAGUAUGUGUUACUAUGGAAACACUGAGCUGUAUUGGGAUGGAGAUCCUCCAGUAUGUGUUACUGUGGAAACACUGAGCUGUAUUGGGAUGGAGACCCUCCAGUAUGUGUUACUAUGGAAACACUGAGCUGUAUUGGGAUGGAGAUCCUCCAGUAUGUGUUACUAUGGAAACACUGAGCUGUAUUGGGAUGGAGACCCUCCAGUAUGUGUUACUAUGGAAACACUGAGCUGUAUUGGGAUGGAGACCCUCCAGUAUGUGUUACUGUGGAAACACUGAGCUGUAUUGGGACCCUCCAGUAUGUGUUACUAUGGAAACACUGAGCUGUAUUGGGAUGGAUCCCCUCCAGUAUGUGUUACUAUGGAAACACUGAGCUGUAUUGGGAUGGAGUCCCUCUAUCUGUGUCCCAAAUGGUACCGUAUUCCCAAUGUAGUGCCCUUCUUUUCACCAGAGCCCUGAUCCAAAGUAGUGCACUAUAGAGAGAACAGGGGUGCCAUUUGGGACACAGGAACCUGUGUAAGCACUGAGCAGCAUAGUGUGAUGGAGGAUGAAUAGUAUACUUUACCACAUUGCCUGGCUCCCCUCGAUCUCCCCUGGCUCCUCUGAUACCAGCACCUCCCUGGAAGAAAGGAAGGGAGGAAGGAGACCGUAAACACCACUAUAACCAUACUGUACAUCUGACUGGGAAUCAGAUCAUAAACACCAUACUGUACAUCUGACUGGGAAUCAGACCAUAAACACCACGAUAACCAUACUGUCCAUCUGACUGGGAAUCAGACCAUAAACACCACGAUAACCAUACUGUCCAUCUGACUGGGAAUCAGACCAUAAACACCAUACUGUCCAUCUGACUGGGAAUCAGAUCAUAAACACCAUACUGUCCAUCUGACUGGGAAUCAGAUCAUAAACACCAUACUGUACAUCUGACUGGGAAUCAGAUCAUAAACACCAUACUGUACAUCUGACUGGGAAUCAGACCAUAAAC
ensembl:lncRNA